CAUUUUCCUGAGACCGCCUAAAAUUAAACUAUUCUCUUCUGUUUCCUGCACGGAGCUCUAUUGCGCCAUCCUCAGCUGACUUGUAUUAGGUACUAGAGUGAGAUGUUAAUGCAAUAAAGAUGUCAGGGUCCAUGUACAGGACACCACUGAGGCUGGGGGGCGGGCUACAAGAUGCGAGGGCACAGAUGAGGGUGUGACUUGUCCAACAACAGAAGCAGGCUUUGGGGAGCAGAAAUGGCCUGGAGGGAUAGGCAGGCCUUGGGAAGAAGAGCAGAGCAGCAUGGUGGAAUGGCUCCCAGCCAAUGGAGAGAGGCCAGGCUCUUGACAGACACGUGUGAUCUCAGGGUAAGGGGGAGGGGCGACACCUGAGGCAGGGCUCUCCUAACUGGUCACAAAUACCAACUGCAUUCCGGGAGGGCAAGGAGCCAGCACAGGGCUCUGGCACAGUCGUGAAGAGAUCAAGUCAAGGUUGGAGGGCGAGCCAGACUGAGAGGGAGGCUGAAGGGGAUGUGGAAAGGACCUCCCCUCUGAAGACAAGGAGAGCAGCUCCCACGGGAGUGUGAAGUGAGUCUACUAGAAAGGGACAGAAGUGUCCCACAGUCGGAGAGAGGACGAACCAGCCCACAAGGUCAGGAAGAGAAGCCAACAAGGAUCUCAGAGACAGACAAGCUAGCUCCCACCACAUCCUUUCCCCAACACAACAUGGAGAUGGAAAAUUUAAUAAAACUUCAUGAAUUAAGUAA